CCAGCUAAGGUCCCAAAGUCAUGGUUAAGUGGGAAACGAUGUGGGAAGGCCCAGACAGCCAGGAUGUUGGCUUAGAAGCAGCCAUCAUUUAAAGAAAGCGUAAUAGCUCACUGGUCGAGUCGGCCUGCGCGGAAGAUGUAACGGGGCUAAACCAUGCACCGAAGCUGCGGCAGCGACACUGUGUGUUGUUGGGUAGGGGAGCGUUCUGUAAGCCUGCGAAGGUGGCCUGUGAGGGUUGCUGGAGGUAUCAGAAGUGCGAAUGCUGACAUAAGUAACGAUAAAGCGGGUGAAAAGCCCGCUCGCCGGAAGACCAAGGGUUCCUGUCCAACGUUAAUCGGGGCAGGGUGAGUCGACCCCUAAGGCGAGGCCGAAAGGCGUAGUCGAUGGGAAACGGGUUAAUAUUCCCGUACUUGGUGUUACUGCGAAGGGGGGACGGAGAAGGCUAUGUUGGC
rnacentral:rRNA from 1 species